rnacentral:lncRNA from 1 species
GCCGCGGCGCGUUCCCGCCCCCGGGCCCGCGCUCCUGCGACCGGGCUCCGGGGCCGAGAGCCGUCCGGGAGGCCCGAAACGCCCCCCACCGGGGGAACUUCCCCGCCGACUUCUGGGGCUCUCGGGACGCGGUGCCGCCCCAGAGGCGUCCUCGGCCCGCGAGUUCUGCUGGGAGCGGGGAGGCCCCGGCGUCUCAGGUGAGUCCCCGGUUCCCUAGACCGGCCGGACACCCGAAGGCCGCACUCACCUGGCGGGGGCCUCAGACGCCUGGCGGCCUCGCCCGCCUCCCUAGACGGAGGGCUCGCCCGUGUGCGGGGUCCCAGGGAGAAGAAGCUGCGGGGAAGACAGUGGGUCGCCCGGGACCAAGCCUGGCUGAAGGGACACAUUGAGCGGGGCAAAGGCAUGUGGCGCAUCAGCCGGGCUCACGAGCGUGUACCCGAGAAACCACCGCACGGAGCCCAUGGCGGAGGCCGCGGCCCAUGCUGGGAGGCAGGCCGUGCAGGUGAACCCCCAGGCCGCGCAGGUGAACCCCCAGGCCGCGCAGGUGAACCCCCAGGCCGUGCAGGUGAACCCCCAGGCCGCGCAGGUGAACCCCCAGGCCGUGCAGGUGAACCCCCAGGCCGUCCGCUUAGCCUCGCUGCGAUCUUGGGCAAAUGACUGUGGUGGCUGAGGGCAGGCGCCCCACCUGCAAAAUGCGGGGAACAGUGGCAUCUACCCCGUCGGGCUGAUUUGAGGAUGAGGUCAGCUUUUGCUGUACAAUAAGCUGUCCGUAAACGUUCGUUUUUAUGAGCCCAGGGCCUGCCGUGUGGUAGGUGUUCACUAGACGAUGUACACUCUUAAAAGCACCCACUGAGCUGGGACCAGCAGUAGAAAGUCAGCUGAAUCAUCCUCACCCCUGCUUCCUGGAGCAGCCUGGUAUCCAGUGGAUAAUGAUUUGAAGCACCCUGGAGAUGGAUGGAAAUGUUCACACCAUAAUCAAGGAAUUAUGAAGGGUGUGAGUCACCCCUAAUGGAGGUGGGAGAACAGGAGGCGUGGUGGGAGGCCCCAUCCCAACAGGCCACAUCCAUGUUCACAAGGGCUCCUGCCAAGGGCCCAUCUUGGAACCUGGAGAUCAACGUCCCACAUGGCCUUCGCUUUGCUACACUAGAUGUAACUUCACCUCCCUGCGUUCCCCUGGCAAGUGGGGUCAGCUGCUUGGGCCGUCACUCCAGGCCUGCCCACACUGCAGAAGACAGCCACCGUGUGUCCCUCCUACAGAUGGACUGGAUGCUCACCAGCCCCUGCCAGUGGAGAGACAUGAGGCCCUCAUGCAAACUGGCAGCCCUAGAGGAGAACCGGCCAUACUUGUUGGACAGAAACAGUACCCAGAACUCUCAGUCUGCCUCUGCCUGACAUGGCCCUGGCUGCCUAGCCAACUGGCUUGCAGAAGAGGGACAUUGGCCUGAGUCAAGGGGACGGGGUUGGAGGCAUUGCAUUGUCACCUAGCAGCAGUAUGUCUGGGCAGCAUGUGUUACCUCUCUUCCCCUUCCCCUGCUGGCCGGAUGUCCCUCAGAUUCAUCCUGGAUCUGGUGCCGUUCUUCAAAUAUGUGGCCUGCUUCAAGAUAAUGUAACUGCACAUCAGCUAAAUGAUUAUAAAGCAGCUGGUGCCUCCCAAGACGGAGCCCCCGCAACGGCAGUGAUUUUGACAGGCAGAGAUAAGGGUGUUUCCAUAAUAAUGUGGUAGAUUAAGGGAUUCAGCCUGCUGUACUGAGGGGAGACUAAAAUGCAUCUGAAUUUUUAUUUGGAGAGAUCUGAAUGUAUUUUACUAACAAGUCUGGUCCUUUUGGGCUGAACUUUCCAUUUGUCAUGGAAGUGCCCGGCAAUAUCUUGACUCCGAUGUUGUAGGAAGACCAGCUUCCCAAAAUGAACAUCCUGAAUCGAAUCGCCUCCUGUGGGUUUCCUAUUGAUUCACACGGUGACGGGAUUAGCUCAGUCACGGGAGUACCAGCCCUUUUCAUUGUGAUAGGAUCUGUAAUAAAACUUGGCUAGUCGUCCUGCAGGGAGGGGAUUUAUUACUCAGGCUCUGGCUCUCCACAUGGCCCCCGAGGUCCACACAGCUCUGUGGGGAGGGAGGGGGUGCUGCUUUCCUAGAUUGAGGUCUUCGAGCCUCAGGAGGGACAGGACAUGGACCAGAAAGGUGAUUGGAGCCUGGUCAUAUUUCGGAAGUUUUGUGAUAUUUAUACUGACAUCUUCUAAAAUCAGAAAAGAGGAGAAGACAUUGAAUGAUGUGUUCUCAUGCCCACCACUGAUCCCUUUACAGCAAGCAUGGGAUUAUCCGGCCAGAGUCCGGGAAUACCCACGCAGCCAAGACCACAGGACAGCAAGAGCCUUUGCACAGCCUUCUAGGAUGUGAUAAGACAUACUUUGAUGCAGAAAUUGCCUCUGUGUAGGGAAUAGACACUUUAUUGAACAAUUACAUUUUUGGCAAUAUGCUAGGUUCAGCAGGCCAGACUAGCAUCCCUUGAAAAAUAGCUGAUGGACACCACCUUCAGGAUACCGGAGAUGAGCGUGGACUCAAAGCCCAGCUUUGUCAUUUACUCAUGUGCAGCCUCAGUAAAGUUGCUUCAGUUUGCCCUACUGAAAAUAAUAGUAACGCUGCUGUCCCCAUACAGAGGGGCUAUGAGGAUGACAGGAGCUGAUGUGAGCAGAGCCUGGCACCCAGAGCCUGGCAUGAAGUCAGCACUCCAUAAAUAGUGGCAACAGUGACCACUGCUGACCAGGCGCUCUCCAGUGGGAUAGAGUAGUUAGGGCUGAAUACUCUGACCUUCUCUGGAUAAGGGCUCACUGUCCUCAUCUAUGCCUGGGUGCACAUUUUCUCACAUCUUAACAUCCCCAAAUCAAGAAACAUCUCACAGUUGGUGUUUUGCAAUCAUCACUGGCCUGGACUGAAAUUGAGUUCUUCCAGAGAGGGUUUGUUUUUGCUUCUGCCAGUGAUCUGGGGACACAGCUCCUGAAACUCCUUGGGGAUCUGCUGAAUGGUGUGACCCCAGUGUGAGAACCAGCUUAUGGUUCUAAUGAUCAGUGCAGGGCAUCUCCCUAUUUCUCCCUCCCCUCGCCAGGGCCAAGAUAGAAACCUGAUGAUUCCUUGCUGUUCCUCUCCAUGGUGGGUUUAUUUCUCAUUUUCCCCUGUACUGACAGUAGAGUCUUUAUUUUCCCUCCCCUCCCCUCUCUCUCCUCUCCUCCUCCUCCUUCUCUCUCUUCCUUCCCUCCUUUCUUUCUCUUUCUUUCUUUCUCUUUCUCCUUUCCCUUCCCUUCCCUUCCCUUCUUUUCUCUUUCUUUUUCUUUUUCUUCUUCUUUCCUGAGAUGGAGUUUCACUCUUGUCACCCAGGCUGGAGUGCAAUGGUGCAAUCUCGGCUCACUGCAACCUCUGGCGUCCGGGUUCAAGUGAUUCUCUUGUCUCAACCUCCCGAGUAGCUGGGAUUACAGGUGCAAGCCACCAUGCCUGGCUAAUUUUUGUAUUUUUAGUAGAGAUGGGGUUUCACCAUGAUAGCCAGGCUGGUCUCGAACUCCUGACCUCAGGUGAUCCACCUGCCUCAGCCUCCCAAAGUGCUGAGAUUACAGGCGUGAGCCACCAGGCCCAGCCAACAGUAGAGCCUUUCAUUGUUCCAUCUUUAGAGAGGCAUCUCCUGUGAGCCUUUCAUUGUUCCAUCUUUAGAGAGGCAUCUCCUGUGAGACUUUCCAUCUUGGAUGUUUUUUUUUUCUUAGUAAUAUGUUAAAUAAUGACACAUCUUCCAAUUGAGGGUGUAUCUUAGAUUUGAUGACAUAUGAUAUUAAUGCCUUCAAGACAUAUUGCAGUAAAGAAACUUGUUGAAUUCUUCCAAAUAUAUUUGCUGUGUCUGUGUAUGUGUGAGUGUGGCAUCUAUUGAUAUCCUACAGAAAAGGUACAGAGAGUACAGCAUUUUUCAUGAAAAUCUGUUGUGAAUCCUCAGCAAGGUAAAGGCUUUUUCAAAGUAAUUGCCUGGCUCAGUUGAAUUUUCAAAUACAUUUCUAUCGGGAGAAUCCUCGGAUACUUUGGGC